rnacentral:tRNA from 1 species
GCCGGGGUAGCUCAGCCUGGUUAGAGUGCCAGUUCCAAUCUGGAGGUCGUGGGUUCGAAACCCACCCCCGGCA